CUAUUUAAAUGCAUUGUUUAUAUUGUGUAUGCAUUGUCAAUAUGUAUAAAGUUUGUACAAAUGUAUAAAAGUGUUAGUCAUGUGAACCACUGUCAUGUGACAUACCCAGAGUUCCUUGGGUGCAGAACCUACAGGCUUAGCAACCAAUGUGCUUUAGUCCAGCCCCCUAGUAUAUAAGGGGCUGUAGUCGCUCAGUUAGCUCUCUUGUUCCUGCACUCUCUUAUCUCCUGGACCUAAAGCAAGUAUAAAGUCCUGUAUACUGCAAAUUCAUCUCAUCUAGGCCAAAGCCUAAAGAAAUGCAGCCACUUCUAAAACGUGAAGAAGAAGUAGGGCAAUGUCCAGACUAUGGUUGGCAUAAGGACCCGAGAGCAAUGAGAACUGUGUCGCGUAUGAUCGGUAUAUAACCACCUACGUGAGGUGACGUUGUCACUCUGAAGACGUGUCAGUAACAACAACUAUGCAAUGGAUCCCCCAGCAGAUGUGGCAGGUAUAAUGGGUAUACCACCGUCUAUGUGUCGUGAAGUUGUCGCUCUGAAGACGUGUCAGUAACAAGAACUGAACAUUGCAUCCUCCUGCAGACGUGGCAGGUACAAAGGAUACACCACCACCUAUGUGUCGAUAUGUUGAUGCUCUGAAUAUGUGUCAGU